rnacentral:misc_RNA from 1 species
GAUGAAGAACGUAGUGAAAUGCGAUACUUGGUGUGAAUUGCAGAAUCCCGUGAACCAUCGAGUUUUUGAACGCAAGUUGCGCCCGAAGCCUUUUGGCCGAGGGCACGUCUGCCUGGGCGUCACGCAUCGCGUCGCCCCCCACAAUUCUCCGUAAAGGGAACAUGUGUUUUGGGGGCGGAUAUUGGUCUCCCGUGCUCAUGGGGUGGUUGGCCGAAAUAGGAGUCCUUUCGAUGGACGCACGAACUAGUGGUGGUCGUAAAAACCCUCGUCUUUUGUUUCGUGCUGUUGGUCGCAAGGUAAACUCUUUAAAAACCCCAAUGUGUCGUCUCUUGACGACGCUUCGACCGCGACCCCAGGUCAGGCGGGACUACCCGCUGAGUUUAAGCAUAUCAAUAAGCGGAGGA